AAGUCGUAACAAGGUUUCCGUAGGUGAACCUGCGGAAGGAUCAUUACCAAACUUGUGUGUUAACUCACACAUUUAUACCCGAUUAAGUUACAGUCACGAUCGGUGAAAAGUCUCACUACUUCGUAUGGAGAUUGAGCAAAAUUUUAGGCCGGUAUAGUUGGUUCAGUUCGACUAUAUCAGGGCUGUCGAGUCCUAGUGCUCGGCAGCUAACGCUGGUCCUCCUUUCGACUACUCAGACUGUCGGCAUGCUGUAAGCCUGGCAUAGUGGUCGGUAUGGAGAGCCUCGAUCGUGUGCCUUGUGUGCAUGAUUGAAAUGGCUAGCAAAUGUGCUUUUGCACAACGAGUUUGUCUCGCAAACUCUGUGAUUGGAAAGAAACAAACAAUGCAGUACAACUGCAAACGGUGGAUCACUCGGUUC
rnacentral:misc_RNA from 1 species